GAUGAAGAACGUAGCAAAAUGCGAUAAGUAAUGUGAAUUGCAGAAUUCAGUGAAUCAUCGAAUCUUUGAACGCACAUUGCGCCCGCCAGUAUUCUGGCGGGCAUGCCUGUUCGAGCGUCAUUUCAACCCUCAAGCCCUCGGGUUUGGUGUUGGGGAUCGGCGAGCCUUUCUGGCAAGCCGGCCCCGAAAUCUAAUGGCGGUCUCGCUGCAGCCUCCAUUGCGUAGUAGUAAAACCCUCGCAACUGGAACGCGGCGCGGCCAAGCCGUUAAACCCCCAACUUCUGAAUGUUGACCUCGGAUCAGGUAGGAAUACCCGCUGAACUUAAGCAUAUCAAUAAGCGGAGGA
rnacentral:misc_RNA from 1 species